GCGCUGCUGCGUGGUAGGACUCGUCGGCUCCCACGAGGACGGCGCCGUCGCCGCCGAGGGAGACGGCGACGCGUUCGAACCCCGAGUGACGCA
rnacentral:tRNA from 1 species